rnacentral:rRNA from 1 species
AUUGAACGCUGGCGGCAUGCUUUACACAUGCAAGUCGAACGGCAGCACGGGCUUCGGCCUGGUGGCGAGUGGCGAACGGGUGAGUAAUGCAUCGGAACGUGCCCAUGUUGUGGGGGAUAACUACGCGAAAGCGUGGCUAAUACCGCAUACGCCCUGAGGGGGAAAGCGGGGGAUUCUUCGGAACCUCGCGCAAUUGGAGCGGCCGAUGUCAGAUUAGCUUGUUGGUGAGGUAAAGGCUCACCAAGGCGACGAUCUGUAGCGGGUCUGAGAGGAUGAUCCGCCACACUGGGACUGAGACACGGCCCAGACUCCUACGGGAGGCAGCAGUGGGGAAUUUUGGACAAUGGGGGCAACCCUGAUCCAGCCAUGCCGCGUGAGUGAAGAAGG